rnacentral:rRNA from 1 species
UACGUAGGGGGCAAGCGUUGUCCGGAAUCAUUGGGCGUAAAGAGCGUGUAGGCGGCCAGAUAAGUCCGCUGUGAAAUCUCGAGGCUCAACUUCGAGCUGUCGGUGGAAACUGUCUGGCUAGAGUCCGGAAGAGGAGAAUGGAAUUCCCGGUGUAGUGGUGGAAUGCGUAGAUAUCUGGAGGAACACCAGUGGCGAAGGCGACUUUCUGGUCUGUAACUGACACUGAGGCGCGAAAGCGUGGGGAGCGAACAGG